rnacentral:rRNA from 1 species
CCCGCACAAGCAGCGGAGCAGGUGGUUUAAUUCGAAGCAACGCGAAGAACCUUACCAAGACUUGACAUCCCCUGACAGCUGUUGAAAGGCAGUGUCUCUUCGGAGCAGGGAGACAGGUGGUGCAUGGUUGUCGUCAGCUCGUGUCGUGAGAUGUUGGGUUAAGUCCCGCAACGAGCGCAACCCUUAUCCUUAGUUACCAGCACGUAAAGGUGGGGACUCUAGGGAGACCGCCGGGGACGACUCGGAGGAAGGUGGGGACGACGUCAAAUCAUCAUGCCCCUUAUGUCUUGGGCUACACACGUGCUACAAUGGCCGCAACAGAGGGAAGCGAGAGCGCAAGCUGGAGCAAAACCCUAAAAAGCGGUCCCAGUUCGGAUUGUGGGCUGCAACCCGCCCACAUGAAGUCGGAGUUGCUAGUAAUCGCGAAUCAGCAUGUCGCGGUGAAUGCGUUCCCGGGCCUU